GUGCCAGCAGCCGCGGUAAUACGGAGGGUGCAAGCGUUGUCCGGAUUUAUUGGGUUUAAAGGGUGCGUAGGCGGCUUAUUAAGUCAGGGGUGAAAGACUGCAGCUCAACUGUAGCAGUGCCUUUGAUACUGAUGAGCUUGAGUACAGAUGAGGCUGGCGGAAUGGGUGGUGUAGCGGUGAAAUGCAUAGAUACCAUCCAGAACACCGAUUGCGAAGGCAGCCGGCUAAACUGUAACUGACGCUGAGGCACGAAAGCGUGGGGAUCGAACAGGAUUAGAAACCCCCGUAGUCC
rnacentral:rRNA from 1 species